GAAUUUUGGACAAUGGGCGAAAGCCCGUUCCAGCAAUGCCGCGUGCAGGAUGAAGGCCUUCGGGUUGUAAACUGCUUUUGUACGGAACGAAAAGCUUUGGGUUAAUACACGGGAGUCAUGUAGGUACCGCAAGAAGAAGCACGGGCUAACUACGUGCCAGCAGGCGCGGUAAUACGUAGGGUGCAAGCGGUAAUCGGAAUUACGGGGCGUAAAGCGUGCGCAGGCGGUUUUGUAAGACAGAGGUGAAAUCCCCGGGCUCAACCUGGGAACUGCCUUUGUGACUGCAAGGCUAGAGUACGGCAGAGGGGGGUGGAAUUCCGCGUGUAGCAGUGAAAUGCGUAGAUAUGCGGAGGAACACCGAUGGCGAAGGCAACCCCCUGGGCCUGUACUGACGCUCAUGCACGAAAGCGUGGGGAGCAAACA
rnacentral:rRNA from 1 species